CAGCGAUAAAGAAACAUCGUCACUGUUCUGUGAAUGUGUGAGAUGUAGGUGGUAUUGGCAUAGCUGUGGGUGGUGUGACGUGGAAAGGAGGUGGGAGGAGCAAUGGGGGGCAGCUAGAAACGAGUUUCAUGCAUAAUAAGUAAGACUUUGACGGUCCUGGUAAUUGUUGCUUUUUUGUGUUUAACUGUUUUUUAUUUUUUCUUUAAAUAGGCUGACUCUGUGCUUAAGAAUCUAAAUUGCUGCUCAUAUGGCAAUGCUGCAUACUUCAGAGAAGAGAACUUUUGUACUGAUAGCAAGGACAUGGUCAAACAAAGCGCCACACUUGGUCAUUACAAGCCACAGGAGAAUAAUCCUCUAUUCAUGGAAGUCAGCCAUUCCCCAUUCCGUCUGGCUUUGAGUGGCUCUUGUCAAGGGCAUUUGUGAGAUUGCUACCGCAAAGUCUUCUAA
rnacentral:lncRNA from 1 species